UCAGAAACUACAAAGGAAAUUGACGGGGACCCCGGCACAAGCAGUGGAGCAUGUGGUUUAAUUCGAUGCAACGCGAAGAACCUUACCCAGACUUGACAUGCAAAGGACGCUACCAGAAAUGGUAGUUUCUCUUCGGAGCCUUUGCACAGGUGCUGCAUGGCUGUCGUCAGCUCGUGCCGUGAGGUGUUGGGUUAAGUCCCGCAACGAGCGCAACCCUUUAUCGUUAUUUGCCAACACGUAAUGGUGGGAACUCUAACGAGACUGCCUGGGUUAACCAGGAGGAAGGUGAGGAUGACGUCAAGUCCGCAUGGCCCUUAUGUCUGGGGCUACACACGUGCUACAAUGGUCGGUACAGAAGGCAGCGAAGCCGCGAGGUGGAGCAAAUCCCAAAAAGCCGAUCUCAGUUCAGAUUGUAGUCUGCAACUCGACUACAUGAAGACGGAAUUGCUAGUAAUGGCGAGUCAGCAACAUCGCCGUGAAUACGUUCCCGGGUCUU
rnacentral:rRNA from 1 species